AUCCAGGAAGCAGGCACAGGCACCAAGGCGAUGCGUUCAUGGCCCGCUGUACAACCAACUAAUCCAGCUUCUAAAAACCUGCGUACAGUAUUUGCUGUGCGUGGCACUGCAUAGCAUCAGAGAGGGCCGUUCACCAAAUGGAUGCAGAAAAAACAAAUGGACUCUCUGCACUGCACUGAUCUUUGGGGAUCCACACACAAAUAUGGAGACAAGGCCGAAGAUGAAAAGAGCAACCAGUUCCCAUGAGGCGGCAGAAAUCUUUUUAAUACAGCAUCAAAUAGCACUACAAUAACAUAGUGUGGCCACGGGACCGAGCAGUCAACCCUGUGGUACACAGGAGCUAUUCCUAAACCUCUGACUUCACGUCCUGUUAUGUUUUAGUUUCACCUUAAAAUAGGCUGAUAUAAUAGCAUCUGUAAAUGUUCAGUUAAAGUGCACCAUAACUAUGUUUCCUCACAUUCAACACAGUCCAAUAAAACCUCUUUUUUUUUCCUGUACACUUAAAUGCUACCAUACAUU